UGGGGAAUUUUGGACAAUGGGCGCAAGCCUGAUCCAGCCAUGCCGCGUGCGGGAAGAAGGCCUUCGGGUUGUAAACCGCUUUCGUCAGGGAAGAAAUCUUCUGAGUUAAUACCUCGGGAGGAUGACGGUACCUGAAGAAUAAGCACCGGCUAACUGCGUGCCAGCAGCCGCGGUAAUACGUAGGGUGCAAGCGUUAAUCGGAAUUACUGGGCGUAAAGCGUGCGCAGGCGGUUUUGUAAGACAGAGGUGAAAUCCCCGGGCUCAACCUGGGAACUGCCUUUGUGACUGCAAGGCUUGAGUGCGGCAGAGGGGGAUGGAAUUCCGCGUGUAGCAGUGAAAUGCGUAGAUAUGCGGAGGAACACCGAUGGCGAAGGCAACCCCCCUGGGCCUGCACUGACGCUCAUGCACGAAAGCGUGGGGAGCAAACAGGAUUAGAUCCCUGGUAGUCCACGCCCUAAAACCGAUGUCAACUGGUUGUUGGGAAGGUUCCUUCUCAGUAACGUAGCUAACGCGUGAAGUUGACCGCCUGGGGAGUACGGCCGCAACGGUU
rnacentral:rRNA from 1 species